rnacentral:sRNA from 1 species
GCUGGGUGUGGUGGCUCACGCCUGUAAUCCCAGCACUUUAGGAGGCUGAGGUGGGAGGAUCACCUGAGGUCAGGAGUUCGAGACCAGCCUGGCCAACAUGGUGAAACCGCAUCUCUA